GGCCCAUUAGUUACAGAGGAAAAUAUUUUGUUAAAAUUUACAAAAAUUUACAAAAUUAUUAAAAAUUGACUAUAAAGGGCAAGGAGUCCUUGAAGGGUCAACUGACCUUUUUGGUCAUGUUGACUUGUUUGUGGAUCUUACUUUGCUGAACAUUAUUGCUGUUUACAGUUUAUCUCUAUCUAUAAUAAUAUUCAAGUUAGUAACCAAAAUCAGCAAAAUUUCCUUAAAAAUUUCCAAUUCAGGGGCAGCAACCCAACAACCAGUUGUCGGAUUCAUCUGAAAAUUUCAGGGCAGAUAGAUCUUGACUUGCAAAACAAUUUAAC
rnacentral:lncRNA from 1 species